rnacentral:rRNA from 1 species
AUAUUAUUAAGCGGAGGAAAAGAAACUAACAAGGAUUCUAAUGGCGAAUGAAAAGGGAAAAGCUCAAGAUUGAAUCGGGGGUCUCUCGAAAAAAGGUGUCAUCGUCGAUAACCCCAUCUAUGCGUGUAUCCUUCACGAGUAGAUCAUCCAAAGCUAAAUACAAGCCAGAGACCGAUAGCGCACAAGUA